rnacentral:tRNA from 1 species
GCCAGUGUAGCAUAGUGGUUUGAGUGUUGGACUACAAUUCUGGAGACCAGGGUUCGAUUCCCAUCUUGGCCA